GUGGUCUCCGCUGUAUCGGCCGGUAUUGCGGCUCCGCCGGGCGGGUGAUGGAUCUGCGGCACUUGUCGCAAAGUCAAGGCCGCGGGCACCCGCCCACUCGGUGCUUUGGCGGGCGUUGCCUCCCCAGCAAGGCCGGCCGCUGCUGUAUAUAUAUUGGCGCUGACGGCAGCCAGGCACCACAGGCAGCAGCCACACGCCCUUACACCACCAUGAAGGCCUUCGUGUGCUCUUUCCUCGUAGUGCUGCUGGUGGCGGCCGUGUUCGCCCAGGAGAAGGCCAAGGAGACCCUGAAGGGCGCCGAGGCCUACUACGCCUACGCCGCCCCCUACGCCUACAGCGCCUUCGGCUACCCCGCCGUCAGCGCCUACUCCGCCUACCCUUACGCUGCCGUCGGCUACCCCUACUACUACCGCUGAACACGCCUCACUGGGCUUAUGCAUCACACUUGAGAAGCCGUGCCUACUGUAUUUCAGAUCACCAGUGCCAUAAAUAAAUGUGUAUAUAGCAACAA